rnacentral:misc_RNA from 1 species
GAUGAAGAACGCAGCGAAAUGCGAUAAGUAAUGUGAAUUUCAGAAUUCAGUGAAUCAUCGAAUCUUUGAACGCACAUUGCGCCCGCCAGUAUUCUGGCGGGCAUGCCUGUUCGAGCGUCAUUUCGACCAUCAAGCCCCCGGCUUGUGUUGGGGACCUGCGGCUGCCGCAGGCCCUGAAAAGCAGUGGCGGGCUCGCUGUCACACCGAGCGUAGUAGCAUACAUCUCGCUCUGGGCGUGCUGCGGGUUCCGGCCGUUAAACCACCUUCAUAACCCAAGGUUGACCUCGGAUCAGGUAGGAAGACCCGCUGAACUUAAGCAUAUCAAUAAGCGGAGGA